AGAAAAUCCGUCUUCGCCUCAUGCUCAGUUUGUGAAUCGUCAGUUUUGGGGUUGUUUCAAAUUGUUGAAAAACGUUUUGAAGUGGCAAGAAAGCUUGGUGAUAAAGUGCUUGCAGAUCUAGCCGUGAGUAGUCUGCUCAACAAAUACCUCCUCAUUGGCCUAGGCAUGAACCCUGAUCCUCUUGAUGCCUUGGUCAAAACCAGACAAAUUGUGUCUGCUUUACCCAGUUCUUGGCGAGAAAUCGGCGUUGCGAAAGAGGAUUUGGGUAGGUUUGCCCAAUUUCUAGCAACUCUUUCCGCCAAACCCGUGGGUCCUGACGGAGUGCGAUCGAUCGUGGAGAUGUUAAAACUAUUGAACUAUCAAACCGAAAGUGAUACUAUCAGAAGAACAAGAUUAGCAUGAUUGUAACGGAGGUCAAUAAUGAUAAGUUUCUAAACUUUUUCACGAGUAAA